UACGAAGGGGGCUAGCGUUGCUCGGAAUCACUGGGCGUAAAGCGCACGUAGGCGGAUCGUUAAGUCGGGGGUGAAAUCCUGGAGCUCAACUCCAGAACUGCCUUCGAUACUGGAAAGCUCGAGUCCGGGAGAGGUGAGUGGAACUGCGAGUGUAGAGGUGAAAUUCGUAGAUAUUCGCAAGAACACCAGUGGCGAAGGCGGCUCACUGGCCCGGUACUGACGCUGAGGUGCGAAAGCGUGGGGAGCAAACAGGG
rnacentral:rRNA from 1 species